rnacentral:misc_RNA from 1 species
GGAAGGAUCAUUAACACGUAUCCAACGUAUCAACCAACCGCGCACUUGUUUUCACCCCUACCGAUCAGAGAGAGAAUGAAUUGGAAUGGAAUCACUGGGCAUAUCUGUUCAGCCUUCGGGUUGGCCUCGAUUCCAUCACUGCUGUAGCUUCGGCUGCAGCGACAAUUGUAUUUCAUACUUAUCGGCAAAUUUCUUUAUUGCAACAGUUUACAGUUCUGUUGCGGUAGAGAUACCACAUUCACCUAUUCACCCCCUUUUUGCUAGUUGACUUUAUUAAUGUUGGACGCGCUGCGCAAGCAGUCGGCCCACACGUUUAAUUAUUUGAACGUUAAAAAUACAACUCUUAGCAAUGGAUAUCUAGGUUCUCGCAACGAUGAAGAACGCAGCGAAAUGCGAUACGUAAUGCGAAUUGCAGAAUUCAGUGAAUCAUCAAAUCUUUGAACGCAAAUUGCGCUCUUGGGUAGCCCUAGGAGCACGCCUCUCUCAGUAUCGGUUCAACAACCUCUCAGCAGCGUAUCCAAAGGAGACAACUCGUUGUCUCCCGCCCGAUAUCGUGUUGGCUGGACAAUGAGAGUCUGAGCGCUUUGCCGCUCAGUCUCUUUAAAUGCAUGGAGUGAACAUAAGACUGCCGACCAGCUUGGCCCUUCGGGGCCGAUAGUCUGCAUCUGACUGUCGCUCGCUAGUGACGUGAAUAUUGGGCCUAUUUUGGUCUCUACCUUUACGUGUAUCUGGCGAGGCGAUACUCAAGUCGGAUGCCGGCGAACGCUUCGUGCUAGUGGAAUGCUUCGCGUAGGAAAACCAUAUGAGACGAAUUUCGGUUCGGCUCUGAAUUUUGAUCUGAGAUGAAGCGAGACAACCCCCUGAAUUUAAGCAUAUUAAUAAGGGGAGGAAAAGAAACUAACAAGGAUUCCCAAGUAACGGCGAGUGAAGCGGGAAGAGCUCAAUUUGAAAAUCGAUUACCUAGACGGGUCAUCGAGUUGUAGCCUAGAGACGUACUAUCAGCUGAAACCUGGGUAUAAGUUCUUUGGAAUGAGGCAUCAUAGAGGGUGAGAAUCCCGUAUAUGACCCAAAGCUUUCAGCGUACGAUGUAUGUUCAUCGAGUCGAGUUGUUUGGGAUUGCAGCUCUAAAUGGGUGGUAAGUUUCAUCUAAAGCUAAAUAAUGGCGAGAGACCGAUAGCGAACAAGUACCGUGAGGGAAAGAUGAAAAGAACUUUGAAAAGAGAGUUAAAAGUACUUGAAAUUGCUAAGAGGGAAGCGCUGGAAACCAGUGAUACGUUGCGUCAAUCGCUUUCGGCCCCACUGGAGCGUGUCGGUAGUUGGUAACUCUGCUGGCGCGCUCGAAAGGGAGGUCGGAGGUUUAUGAUGUAGCGUGAGUCAAGAUAAAUUCGGAUUGUGGGAGAAGGUGGUGAGAAAGGUAGGAGAGCAAUCUCUGUUAUAUUCUUGUCACUCUACCUCGGCCUGGAUUGAGGAAGUAAUAGUGCGCUGCUUGCGGCUUGGUCCCGCGUCCCUAUGGUCCCAACUGCUCUGAUAGCAAUGCUAUCUCUGUGGGGAAAGGCUAUACUGGGCGUGGUGAUUCUAUGUGCUAUCACGAUCUUGUACGAAAUGGUUUUCAUCGACCCGUCUUGAAACACGGACCAAGGAGUCUAACAUCUAUGCAAGUAUUUGGGUGCAAAACCCUGAUGCGUAAUGAAAGUAAAGGCAGUUUCGGCUGCUGAGGUAGGAAUCCUGCAAGGGAGGCACUAUCGACCGAUCAUCACUUGUGAAAGAUUUGAGUAAGAGCAUAUCUGUUGGGACCCGAAAGAUGGUGAUCUAUGCCUGAACAGGGUGAAGCCAGGGGAAACUCUGGUGGAGGCUCGUAGCGAUACUGACGUGCAAAUCGUUCGUCUGAUUUGGGUAUAGGGGCGAAAGACUAAUCGAACCAUCUAGUAGCUGGUUCCCUC